AGGACGAACGCUGGCGGCGUGCUUAACACAUGCAAGUCGAGCGGAAAGGCCCUUCGGGGUACUCGAGCGGCGAACGGGUGAGUAACACGUGAGCAACCUGCCCUUAGCUCCGGGAUAGCUCCGGGAAACCGGAAUUAAUACCGGAUACAACCACGGCCGACAUCUGCUGUGGUGGAAAGGAUUCCGGCUAAGGAUGGGCCCGCGGCCUAUCAGCUAGUCGGUGGAGUAACGGCCCACCAAGGCGACGACGGGUA
rnacentral:rRNA from 1 species